CAGGGAAUCUUGCGCAAUGGGCGAAAGCCUGACGCAGCGACACCGUGUGGGGGAAGAAGGCCUCUGGGUUGUAAACCUCUUUUCUCGGGGAAGAUAGUGACGGUACCCGAGGAAUAAGCCUCGGCUAACUACGUG
rnacentral:rRNA from 1 species